GGGCCGCUAGCUCAAUUGGCAGAGCAACGGACUCUUAAUCCGCAGGUUGAAGGUUCGAUUCCUUCGCGGCCCACCA
rnacentral:tRNA from 1 species